GUGGAGCUGCCUGUCCCACCAUCUCCGAUUUAUAAAGCCCACUAUCUCCAUGCCCCUGGUAGCUCCAUCUGUUUACCUAGUCACAGCCACUACUGAUGCUUGGUGUCUUGCUUCCUCUUGUCAUAUGGCAGGCAAAGCUGACUUCCAAGACCGUUGGCCUAAACUGAAAUUUCAAGCAAAACCUGGUGCUGCAAAUACUGUUGUUUCUUGCUCCUUUCCUGAGGUUGAGAGGAGGGAAGAGAAAAAAACUGAAGAGGAACAGAAAAGCAAGGAGAAGACAGAGGAGGAUACAAGAAAGCACAAUAAGGUUGUCAAGAUUUCCAGGAAAGAACUAUCAGUGACUACGGUGCUUCCAGCAGCCCAGACGAAGCUGGCCGGGUACCAGAACCCAACACUUUCAGAAGAAUGGCAUCACUAGAUCACACGGACUCAGAGUGACUGGCACAAGGAGCACGGAACAAAAUGUCACUUACUCAUUUACAAAAUCCUGCUUGAGUCUUGAGCUGCAGCUCUGCGAUGAUCCACGUCCCCAUCUCUGAGCCGUGUUCCGUACUCACACUGCCUCAUCGCUUGCUGGCUCUGCGCUAAACUCUCCUGGCUUCCAAAGACAACGAAAGAAGAUGCAACAGUGUGAUAACAGGCCUCUGCUUCUGUCCCCCAGUUGGGGGGUCACCUUGCUGGGGCUCCAUCCUGGCUCAGGUGGCUCUUGUUGCUUUCUGCCAGAUCUCUUCUUGACAUGAUCUCUGAAGGAUGCCUAUUUACAUUUCCUCCUGUCAUGCUGAAUACGUAAUGAGCCACAUACAUAAGAAAACUAUUUUCAAAUACCACUGUUUUUCAGCUAAGAGGAUGAUGGACACAAUUUUGAAUCUGAAUUUAUUAAUUAGAAAAAUGAUAUGAGGGUAACAUAGGAAGGUUGUCUUGUAAUUACUAAAUGAAAACUAUUGGAUAACUUUUUUCUGUUCUGCUUUGAUGACAACAGUCAUCUCACCAGUAGGGUAGACAUUCCAAUAAUAGGAUGUAUCCUCGCUCAUCAGGCACCAGAACACCUUUAUAUCUGUAUAUGUGUGUAUAUGUAAACAUAUAUGGACAGUGUCCAUAAACACACACAUACACAGUUUAUCACUGGUUAGAGUAAAUGCUCUAAUUAGAAAAAUGAAAAUCUAAUACAAGAAAUCCAGUGACAUCCUGAGGUUAAAUUUUAGUUCUUUAUGUUGACUGCCUAUUGUUAGCACUCAAAAUUAACUCUUGGAUUUUGAGGGCAGAUAAAUCAGUAAUUAGUCUUUUCCCCACAAAGGACAGCAGAACUUUCAAAAGCUUUAAUAGACCUAACAAUGCAAUUUAGUGAAGGACAGGAAAAAAAAACGUAUGUGGCCCACAUAUUAGCAAAAAUGCUUUCUUCUAGAAUUUAAAAUUUCCUCAAACAUUUCACAUAAAACAGGUCAUACUUUCCUGCCGACUGCAUUUGAGAAACAGUAAAAGCAGCGUAAAAUAUUCUUCUGAACUUUCAAAAUAUCUGACUAAAAGCAAAGAUUCUACUUUUAGGCAAGACGAGUUUAUAAUUCUGACUUAUGAAACAAAAAAAAAUUUCCUGAAGCUUAUUUGUGAGAUUUCACAUAACCUAAAUGAUAACAAUGCAUAAUAUGGAUGUCAAAGUUGAAUAGUAAAAAUUUUUUAACAAUUACCUUUCAUACAUUUAAACUCUAACAUUUAGCUGAACAUGAAACUUAUUUCAAGAAGCCAUAGGCUUUUGUCCCACUCAAAGACUAGCACAGAUUUUCAAUGAAUAAAGUAAAAUGAUGAAAUUUAUGAAAUACUGUACUAUGAGGUCAAAACCAUGAUGAUGAUACAUCAAUAAAUGUACUUCAGUUAGGUACCCAAUGGUCUCAAGAGCAGAGCCAGUUCCUAAAGUUUACUCUGCUUCUCCCUCCCCCAGCCCUCAUGGAUUGUGCUAUUACUUUUUCUUUAAGGUUUGUACUGGAGGGCCUUCUAGUUUCUUUUAAAAUAUACUUAUAAUACUUUAAAUCGCAACUUAUUCUUAGCACAGAUUCUCAAAUCAAGAGAGAGAUUUCAGUGCCUAUUUUAUGGCUAUAUUGCAUAGCCUUUGUUUCAGAACUUCUGAGGGGAAAUUCUGAUAAUGAAAUUUCAAGAUGAUAUGAUUAUUUAUAAAGAACUUUUCUCUCUAGAAAUGAUUUUACACUUUAGAGAUCAUACCCACUUCCCUGGCAAUAAAGACAUUAGGAAAUACAAUAAAACUUUUGAGUGGUCAGGCGCUCAUAAAGGACAUUAUUGCCACAAGCACAAUACCAGGUACGUGAGAUGUGACACGGCCAUCACCAGGUGCUAAAGGAACCCCAUGCUGUAGAGAUUGUUGGGUCAAACUCAUUCAUACUAAGUAAGCAAAGAAAACCACCAGGCAAAAACAGUGCUUACGAAAGAUAAAAAUUCAGAAAGCAAGGACCUCAGCACCUUCCUGAUAACCUUUCCCCCAGUCCCAGGUUAUUCUGCCAUUUCCUUCUACUCAGUGAUGAUUGUGCUUAGGCUCACGAGGUCUUCGUGGGAGAG
rnacentral:lncRNA from 1 species